rnacentral:lncRNA from 1 species
GUUCUCCCCUGACCUGUUGGUGCAGGAGUCUGCCCCACCCACUUGAGCACCUAUUUAAUCCAGCUCAGCCAGGGCAGGCAGCCCACCCUAGGGACUGGCCGCAUCCAACAGCAAGCCCUUGGGCAACAUGUGGGUCCACAUAGGCAGGGUGUGUGGGACCUCUGCAGUGGGAAGAACCAGCAGAGGAUUCCAAGGUUUUAAGAGGUGAUGGGACCACAAGACGGAAGGACCCUUUCCAGACACCUAUCAGACUUCAUAUGAGAAAGAAAGAAACUUCUGUUGAGUUUGGAUUCCCCCAAAGCAGGCUCUGAAGGAAGACUCAAAAGCAAGUACUUUACUUGGGAGGUGAUCCCAGGAAGCCCAGUGAUGAAAUGGGGAAGUGACAGUGGAAGAGAGGAAAACCAAUGAACGAGACAAGACUGCAAACCUAGCAGAGUGGAGAGCUUAACAUAUCCUGGUUUUCCUGCUGCAAGUGGGGUUGAAAAGCACGCGCAGUGGAUUGAAAAUCACAACUAUCCUGCCAAGCGCAGCAGGCUAGCGUUUCCUGGAAUCUGGUCUUAUUUGGAGCCAUACAAGCUGCUGCUUUCUGAAAGGAGGAAACUGAAAACAACAACAAAAGCAGAAUUUCUCUUUUAUUCCCGACUGGAAGAAAGAAAAUCAGGACCAUGAGCUAUCCACCGCUGAUGUCACGUUUGUCUUUAUACGUGACGAUUCCAUUCACCACACCUCUUCUCCGUUGUGUGGAAGCUCCAUCUUACCUCGUCUGCUUCCACCAAGCCAACUCCAUGCCUUUUAUUCAGGCAAAGGCCUAUGUUUACUCAAUUAUUAGGAAUUAAAGAGGUUUAGAACUGUGAGAACAUUUUUAUUGGGUCAGUUUUUUAUUUUAAUUAAUUUUUUAAGCGUGUUUCUCUUGAGACUUUGUUUUUAAUGUUGUGCCUGUACCUCCGUUUCCCCCCAGGCCUGUUACUUAUAUUGUACGUGAUCCUAUAGCAUGGCGAUUUUUAGUAACACCUCUGCCAGGUUACUGUUUCUUGUUGUAAAUUAGCAUUUCCUUGGUUACUAAAAUCAUUCUUUCUUUUGUUUUCUGGCCACUUGUAUAUCUCUCUUUAUAUCCCUGUUGUUGUGACACGCGUGUCAUAACUUUCACCCAUUUUUCUCUUGGCUUAUUUGUCUUUUUCUAAUGUGUAUGAGGUUUUAAAAAAUAUAUUCUCAACAUGUUAACAUAUCUUACAACUGCUGCCUCUUUCCACGCCUGCUUGCUUUCACGUCGCGUGGUGCUGGGGUUAUUGGGAUCUGGCCAAGGGGAUAUUGAAGUGGGGACAUAUUUCGUUUGGAUUUAGUGGGAUGUGUUUAUGUGGUUUGCAGUCACUUCCACAUAGUACAGUAAAGUUAUUGUGGGACAUCCUCGUGUAGGAGUGGCUUUCAGGAAUACUUCUGUUUGUUGUGUCGACUGACCUACUAUUGUGACACAGAGGUUUGAGGCCAGAGGUCGUACCGCGAUACGAAUGUGUUCUAGUCUCCCAGCGCUAGAAGUAUGUAAGAGAGGAGAAAUAAACUUUGAAAUUCACAGAGCCAGAACCUAGUCUGUGGAAAAUCCUUCCAAUGACCGGACAGGGACACAUCUCCCGCCACCCCCAGCCCAGGUGAACUUCAAGUGCCACACAACCUAGACCUGCCCUUGCUUCAAUGUCCGGGGGCAGUGUCCAAAGCUUAGAGAUCUACAAUGACUAUCAAAUGCCGGCUGGAAUAUGAAACAACAAGGCUGCACAACAGUUGUGUUGCUGGAGGGAAUGGAGAUCAAGAUGCUGAAGCAGGAGCUGCUAGCACAAAAGUUUUUGCUCACCUCCAAGGUUUCAGUGAAAAGAUUUCAUGGGGAUUAAAGACACUCAAACACUUCCAAGCAGUUGCUUUACUCAGAAGUUAAUAAACUUUGGAAACUGCUGAUGUUAGCGUGUGACUUUUGCCUAACGUCUUUCGAUAGUUUAGUUUGCUUUUUUUUUUUUUAAAGGGAGGAGUAUAAAGCAGAAGAUAAAUUUAUGAUGUCAAAUAAAAUGGUUUGCUUGCAUUGGCCUUUCCUUCAACCUUGCGGCUGAAUUCCGUUUUUGGUUGUAAUGUAGACACUGCUUUACCUUCUCUGAGAAUAUGGUUUUGAGGCUGUGAGUAUCACCCCAGGCACUAAUCAGUCAAUAGAACACGAGCUGUCUCUGAAAAAGUAGAAGUCCA